rnacentral:rRNA from 1 species
AGGACGAACGCUGGCGGCGUGCUUAACACAUGCAAGUCGAGCGGAAAGGCCCUUCGGGGUACUCGAGCGGCGAACGGGUGAGUAACACGUGAGUAACCUGCCCCUAGCUCUGGGAUAGCUCCGGGAAACCGGGAUUAAUACCAGAUACGACCACUUUAGACAUCUGUCGUGGUGGAAAGGAUUCCGGCUAGGGAUGGGCUCGCGGCCUAUCAGCUUGUUGGUGGGGUAACGGCCUACCAAGGCGACGACGGGUAG